rnacentral:rRNA from 1 species
GUGGAUUAGAUACCCUGGUAGUCCACGCCCUAAACGAUGUCAACUAGGUGUUGGGUGGGUAAAACCAUUUAGUACCGGAGCUAACGCGUGAAGUUGACCGCCUGGGGAGUACGGCCGCAAGGUUAAAACUCAAAGGAAUUGACGGGGACCCGCACAAGCGGUGGAUGAUGUGGAUUAAUUCGAUGCAACGCGAAAAACCUUACCUACCCUUGACAUGUCCAGGAGCCUGAAGAGAUUUGGGUGUGCUCGAAAGAGAACUGGAACACAGGUGCUGCACGGUUGUCGUCAGCU